AUGAAGACGAGCCUUAACAAAGGCAAUGUAAUCAGAGUCGUCACCAGUGAUGAUCAUGUCAUCAACAUAGAGAAGGAGAAGAGUCCGACCACGAGGAGACGUGUGAACAAACAACGCUGGAUCAUGAUUACUGGGCAAGAAACCAGCGGCAGUCACCACAGAGGCGAAGCGCUCAAACCAGGCGCGCGGGGCCUGUUUGAGACCAUAUAUGGAGCGGCGAAGUCUACACACCAUACCAUUGCUGGAAGGACGCAGACGAAGAGGCAGCAAGAGCAUGGGAGCUGGCAGAAGUGGUGGCAGCGGAAGGAACACAAAGCCAGUCAACCUCCCAAAGGCCCUCUGACUCACGGCGCCUAG
rnacentral:rRNA from 1 species